AGCUGGGUUGAAUCCAAGAGCUGGGCUAGCCACCUUCUGUGCCGUGCUCCUCUCGCUCAUCGCGUUCGCAUGAGAUCGUCCGUCCCCUUGAAGCGACGCUCCUAUUCGCCGAUAGAAAGAAACCGGUUUCUGUGACCUUGUUGCAGGAGUAAUGUGGUCUGUGAAGAAGAAGAAAAAAGGAUUGAACAGAGACCUGACCUGAUCCUUCUGAAGAUGUCAUCCCGUCCGAAAACCCACUAUUGCCUGCUGCUUGUUUGGUGCCAAUGGGUGUUUUGUGUGGGGUGCUCCUUUUUCAUG
rnacentral:lncRNA from 1 species